GAACCUUACCUGGUCUUGACAUCCCGGAGACCCUUAGGAAACUAGGGGUGCUCCAUCUGGAAGAAUCUGGAGACAGGUGCUGCAUGGCUGUCGUCAGCUCGUGUCGUGAGAUGUUGGGUUAAGUCCCGCACGAGCGCAACCCUUGCCUUUAGUUGCCAGCAGUUCGGCUGGGCACUCUAAAGGGACUGCCGGUGUUAAACCGGAGGAAGGUGGGGAUGACGUCAAGUCCUCAUGGCCUUUAUGACCAGGGCUACACACGUACUACAAUGGCCGAUACAAAGGGCAGCGACACUGCGAGGUGAAGCCAAUCCCGUAAAAUCGGUCUCAGUCCGGAUUGGAGUCUGCAACUCGACUCCAUGAAGUUGGAAUCGCUAGUAAUCGUGGAUCAGCAUGCCACGGUGAAUACGUUCCCGGGCCUU
rnacentral:rRNA from 1 species